UCCCAGCUGUGAGGACCGUGGGGCCGCUAGCUGAGCUCGCCCUCCACACGGAGGGACCUGGCUCGCCGUGGCUUUGAUGGUCAGGAGGCGCCUCAGAAAGGCGAAUGGUGUAGCCGGCCCUGGAGAACUCGGCUAGGUGGAGCCCCCGGAUGGGCGUGCCGCGCCUCGGCGCUCAGCUUCAGGAGCCCCUCUUCGUUACGCGGGCGCUAAGAAACUUAACCCUGAAACUGAGCUCGCUCCUCCUUACCGCCUGUGUUCGUUUUCUGUUGCUGCUGUAAUGGCUCCUGAGGAACUGAGGCCCUCGGUCCAACAGCCCACAAGAAGCUACAUGAGUGAGCUUGGCAUCAAACACCCCAGUGGAGCCCCAAGAUGCCUGCAGGCGUGCAAGACUAAGCAGAGGACCGGCUGAGCUGCACCCACAUUUCUGACCUGCAGAGACUAUGAGAACUCCCAAGAAACUCGGGCUGCCCCAGAAGUCUCAAGCCCCAUCCCUACCCCACGAUGUGAGCUCCAAGCUGCAGACAGCAGACACGCUGGAGAACUUGUCUAAACUGAAUUUACGUUCACCCUGCCCCCAGUCACCUGCGAGUCACUGCAGAUUACACCUUCUCUCUUACCCUCCAUACCCAUGGGAGACUCAGUGCCAUCAACUCUGCAGCCCUCACCACUCUCAGAUCUGUUCCCCUUUUCCAUCCCACUGUUCCUCCCACGGUGACUCAAAACCAGUCACCUGAACCCUAACAGAGGUGUCCUAGUUGGGCUCCCUGUCCCCCAUCUUCCCUCUCUCCAAUCCAUGUGCUGGUGUCCCCCCCACCCCACCUGCAGGACGGAGUCUGCAUUCAUUAGGAUGACGUCCAAGGUGGGCCAUGGUUUGGCCCCUGCUUCUCUCUCCAGGUCCAUCUCCUGGGGCGCCUCCUCCUUCCUCUACUUCCCCAAACUCCAGCUGCACCCAAUCUGCAGAGUGCUGAACAUCUCAGCCUGCCAGAUGCCUCCCGUCUCAGUGCCUUGUUUACUCCCCCUGACUGGAAUGUUCUUCCCCCAUUUGGGCCAACUGCAAACACUCCCCUUUCGUGAGUCAGCGCAAGCCUAGGGAGCCUGGACCCUCAGGGUGGAAUGACCACUUCCCCUCUUGAGCCUCAGCUGAACCCGACCGAAUCUGUAGAGACUCCUAUUGUAACUCAUGCUUUUUCUCCAAAUAUUUCACAUCAGCCCUCCUCCUCCUACUAUAUAUUCCUUGAGGACAGGAAAACCUCAUUUGUUUUCUUAGUUCACCAGCUUCUAACACAGUUCUUAAUACAUGUUACAUGAAUUUAUAAAUGAACAUACACCCCCUACAUACACCCAGACUCUAAGAUUUCAAGGCUGGGAACGUGACUGGACCACUCAGAGCUACAGCUGGUAGGAAGAGUUGAUUUUUGAGAUAAAUGGGGUGCGCUAUAGAGGUUUAAGCUUCAAGUGAUGGGAUCCCAUGAUGCCUAUCAGACUUCUCAAAGGGGAACUGAAGCUCAGAUGGUAGAACUGAGAGUGAUUAAUGCCAAGAUGGGUGUCAGAAAAGAAGUUAUUUUUCUCCGUUUUAAUUUUCUUUUAUUAUCAAACCUACACAACUCCAUAGCAUAAAGCAAAGCUUUCUAAACGUUAAAACGCAUCCCUGGGGCUUAAAACCCUAAAUCAGAGGACAUAAAUGAAGACUUGGUACACUGCUUCUGAAAGCCUGCCAAUUUCUGUGCCAACCGCCAGGAAGCCAGCACAGAUGCCUCCUUGGAGCCCUGAGAGCCUCCAGCAUGUUUACCAAGUCUGGCUACUUAAACAGGUGUCCCAAGGGCCCUGGACAAGGAGGAGGUCCUUGUCUACUCAUUAACCCCGGAAACAAAGCAAACCAAAGGCACAGUGUGUGACUUCGCUAAUUCUUCUUCUCCUUCUGGAGUUCGGCCAUUGAUUGUGGCACAGAUAAUGCUAUAUGUUCCACCAGACUCAUUUCAUUUUCAUCCCAGACACUAAGGAAGACUGCCUUCCCCAAGCUCCCUCGUAGUUACACUGGGCCCGUGUGAUUAAAGCUCUGACCUGUAGACUGGGAAGAAGUGAUAUAUAUCACUUCCAGACCUGGCCACAGAAUCCUUUACAUGACCCUCCGUGGUCUCUCUCCCCAUUCCACACUGACCCCAGAUGACAAAUUUGGGAGGAAACUGGGUCCCUGAAUAACUAUGGAGUAGAGCUGCCACUCACUCCCUCAGUUCACCUGCAUGGAGCUUUCAUAUAAGCAAAAAAUAACAUUGUUGCAUUAAGUCACUGAGAUUUGGAUAUUCUUUGUUAUAUCAGCUAGCAUCACCUAUCCUGACUAAUAUACUACAUUAGCCACAACGCACUGGGAAAAUACUCAUCCAUUCAGCAUUUACUAAGCAGCUGCUAAUGGCAAAAACUGUUGUGUGCUAUUUACAACUGAGGGAAAGAGAAUUCACCUGUUGCACCAUGAGCUUCUCAAAUUCCUCCACAAUCUCAGGCAAGCUGAGCCACUUGAUUCCUGGCAAAAGUGCAAGGACUCGGCUGCCCAUCUUCAUCAGCAGCAGGUCCAUCUGCACCUGAGCAAGCAGGCCAGGGUGCAACACCUGCCGAAAAGAGGCACAGUGAGACAGGAGGGAUCAAUCAACCCAGCCACGGCUGGGUCCUACCGUCAAAGGAGAGUCAGCAGGCUUCUCAUCAGAGCAAAGGAGAAGCAGUCCCAACGCCCAGGAUGCUCCUGCAUUCCUCCCUUUGCGUCUUCCUGAGGAGACUCAGAGGGCAGCUCCCCUGCAUGGCACUCAGCUUUGCUGGGAAGAAUAGGGGGGCUUCUCCUUCCAAAUACAUUAAGUUUAGAUCAGUGAUUCCUAAACAUAGUGAGCAUAAAAGUCACCGUGGGUUGCUUGGUGAAAAUGUGGACUCCCAGAUCUCCUCCAAGACCUACUGAGUCAGGGACUUCCCUGGUGGUCUAGUGGUUAAGACUCCAUGCUCCCAAGGCAGCGGGCCCGGGUUCGAUCCUGAUCAGGGAACUAGAUCCCACAUGCAUGCUGCAACUAAGACCCAGCACAGCCAAAUAAAUAAAUAAAUAAAUAUUUUUUAAAAAGACGUACUGAAUCGGACUGGCUGUAAGGGGAGCUGGGAAUCUGCAUUUUACUGAGUGUACAGGUAGCUGAGUCAGGUGGUCCAGAGCCCGCAAAA